AACGAACGCUGGCGGCAGGCUUAACACAUGCAAGUCGAACGCAUCCUUCGGGGUGAGUGGCAGACGGGUGAGUAACGCGUGGGAACGUGCCCUUCAGUUCGGGAUAACCCAGGGAAACUUGGGCUAAUACCGGAUACGUGCGAGAGCAGAAAGAUUUAUCGCUGAAGGAUCGGCCCGCGUCUGAUUAGCUAGUUGGUGGGGUAAUGGCCCACCAAGGCGACGAUCAGUAGCUGGUCUGAGAGGAUGAUCAGCCACAUUGGGACUGAGACUCGGCCCAAACUCCUACGGGAGGCAGCAGUGGGGAAUAUUGGACAAUGGGCGCAAGCCUGAUCCAGCCAUGCCGCGUGAGUGAUGAAGGCCUUAGGGUUGUAGAGCUCUUUCGUCCGGGACGAUAAUGACGGUACCGGAAGAAGAAGCCCCGACUAACUUCGUGCCAGCAGCCGCGGUAACAC
rnacentral:rRNA from 1 species